GAUGAACGCUGGCGGCGUGCCUAAUACAUGCAAGUCGAGCGAACGGACGAGAAGCUUGCUUCUCUGAUGUUAGCGGCGGACGGGUGAGUAACACGUGGAUAACCUACCUAUAAGACUGGGAUAACUUCGGGAAACCGUAGCUAAUACCGGAUAAUAUUUUGAACCGCAUGGUUCAAAAGUGAAAGACGGUUUUGCUGUCACUUAUAGAUGGAUCCGCGCUGCAUUAGCUAGUUGGUAAGGUAACGGCUUACCAAGGCAACGAUGCCUAGCCGACCUGAGAGGGGGAUUGGCCACACUGGAACUGAGACACGGUCCAGACUCCUACGGGAGGCAGCAGUAGGGAAUCUUCCGCAAUGGGCGAAAGCCUGACGGAGCAACGCCGCGUGAGUGAUGAAGGUCUUCGGAUCGUAAAACUCUGUUAUUAGGGAAGAACAUAUGUGUAAGUAACUGUGCACAUCUUGACGGUACCUAAUCAGAAAGCCACGGCUAACUACGUG
rnacentral:rRNA from 1 species